rnacentral:rRNA from 1 species
AGAGUUUGAUCCUGGCUCAGGACGAACGCUGGCGGCGUGCUUAACACAUGCAAGUCGAACGGAAAGGCCCUUCGGGGUGCUCGAGUGGCGAACGGGUGAGUAACACGUGGGUGAUCUGCCCUGCACUUUGGGAUAAGCCUGGGAAACUGGGUCUAAUACCGAAUAUGACUACAUGCUUCCUGGUGUGUGGUGGAAAGCUUUUGCGGUGUGGGAUGGGCCCGCGGCCUAUCAGCUUGUUGGUGGGGUAAUGGCCUACCAAGGCGACGACGGGUAGCCGGCCUGAGAGGGUGACCGGCCACACUGGGACUGAGAUACGGCCCAGACUCCUACGGGAGGCAGCAGUGGGGAAUAUUGCACAAUGGGCGCAAGCCUGAUGCAGCGACGCCGCGUGAGGGAUGACGGCCUUCGGGUUGUAAACCUCUUUCAGCACAGACGAAGCGUGAGUGACGGUAUGUGCAGAAGAAGGACCGGCCAACUACGUGCCAGCAGCCGCGGUAAUACGUAGGGUCCGAGCGUUGUCCGGAAUUACUGGGCGUAAAGAGCUCGUAGGUGGUUUGUCGCGUUGUUCGUGAAAACUCACAGCUUAACUGUGGGCGUGCGGGCGAUACGGGCAGACUUGAGUACUGCAGGGGAGACUGGAAUUCCUGGUGUAGCGGUGGAAUGCGCAGAUAUCAGGAGGAACACCGGUGGCGAAGGCGGGUCUCUGGGCAGUAACUGACGCUGAGGAGCGAAAGCGUGGGGAGCGAACAGGAUUAGAUACCCUGGUAGUCCAA